rnacentral:rRNA from 1 species
UACGUAGGGUGCGAGCGUUGUCCGGAAUUAUUGGGCGUAAAGAGCUCGCAGGCGGUUUGUCGCGUCGACUGUGAAAACCUACAGCUUAACUGUGGGCUUGCAGUCGAUACGGGCAGACUUGAGUUCGGUAGGGGAGACUGGAAUUCCUGGUGUAGCGGUGAAAUGCGCAGAUAUCAGGAGGAACACCGGUGGCGAAGGCGGGUCUCUGGGCCGAUACUGACGCUGAGGAGCGAAAGCGUGGGGAGCGAACAGG